UGGGGUUGUAGCUCAGUGGUUGAGCACUUGCCUUGCAUGUGUGAGGCACUGAGUUCAGUCCUCAGCACCACAA
rnacentral:tRNA from 1 species